rnacentral:rRNA from 1 species
CAGAGGGUGCAAGCGUUGUUCGGAAUUAUUGGGCGUAAAGCGCGUGUAGGCGGCUUAGUAAGUUGGGUGUGAAAGCCCUCGGCUUAACCGAGGAAGUGCGCCCAAAAACUGCUUGGCUUGAGUACCGGAGAGGGUGGCGGAAUUCCCGGUGUAGAGGUGAAAUUCGUAGAUAUCGGGAGGAACACCAGCGGCGAAGGCGGCCACCUGGACGGAUACUGACGCUGAGACGCGAAAGCGUGGGGAGCAAACAGGAUUAGAUACCCUGGUAGUCCACGCUGUAAACGAUGAGCGCUAGGUGUUGCGGGUGUUGACCCCUGCAGUGCCGCAGCUAACGCAUUAAGCGCUCCGCCUGGGAAGUACGGCCGCAAGGCUA